GACGAACGCUGGCGGCGUGCCUAACACAUGCAAGUCGAACGGAACUGUUUUGAAAGAUUUCUUCGGAAUGAAUUUGAUUUAGUUUAGUGGCGGACGGGUGAGUAACGCGUGAGUAACCUGCCUUCAAGAGGGGGAUAACAUUCUGAAAAGAAUGCUAAUACCGCAUGACAUAUCGGAACCACAUGGUUUUGAUAUCAAAGAUUUUAUCGCUUGAAGAUGGACUCGCGUCCGAUUAGUUAGUUGGUGAGGUAACGGCUCACCAAGACCGCGAUCGGUAGCCGGACUGAGAGGUUGAACGGCCACAUUGGGACUGAGACACGGCCCAGACUCCUACGGGAGGCAGCAGUGGGGGAUAUUGCGCAAUGGGGGCAACCCUGACGCAGCAACGCCGCGUGAAGGAUGAAGGUUUUCGGAUUGUAAACUUCUUUUAUUAAGGACGAAA
rnacentral:rRNA from 1 species